GGGGUGUAGGGGCCGGUGGGGAGGGGGUUACAGAGACCAGGAAUCGUUUCAGAGCCAGAAUAGGUUUGUAGAGAUAGUGAGGGACUCUUUCCACAUUACAGCAUUCCCUCCACUAAAUCAAAGUCAUGCCCCAUCUGGGAUGAAAGGGGUUAACCAUUUGUUUAUAAGGGAAUACUUGCUUAGUACUUCCGUUUCCUGAUGUCAAUUUUCCCCUCUACACAUUCGUGUUCUCCAUACAGUGACGGCCGCUGAGGACAAGAGUUUGUCAACCGUUACACCAGAGACGAGCAGCGGACAGAACCCAGAUCGGGUAACUGACGGGAUAUCUGGGAUCGGACAAUGAUCGGGAGAUCAUUCUUCCUCCUCUCCCUUCUCCAAGCCGUGGUGUCGGGACAGUGGAGUGCGGACAAUCCCGGAGCUGUGACAGCACAGAAUGGUUUAUGUGCACAGAUUCCGUGUCACUACAAGUACCCGUCGACUCUGAACAGUAAACCACGGAUUGGAAUCUGGUUUAACAGUGAGACGCUGGACUUUUCGUCUGUAGCCUUUUUCUCCGAGGGUUACAUCACGGUAUCACCAAAGUUUCUGCAUCGGACCCGGCUGUCAGGAGUCCUGAGAGACAACGACUGUUCCCUGGUUAUAGACAAGGUCACUCAGGAAGAUGCAGGUCCUUAUUUUUUCAGGGUCGAUUUCCUCGACGGCCAAAAUGAUUACAACUACCAGCCUGCAACACAGCUCUAUGUUACUGAUUUCACAGAUAAACCCACGAUAUUCCCUGCUGAAAUGGUGGCAGGUCAGCCUGUGAACGUGACCUGCUCCUUCAACACCACGUGUAAUGGAACAGCACCCAUCUUAACCUGGGUCACCCCCGCUGAUGACCCACCGUCAGCCUCACGCAGCGUAACUCAGUGGGGAGACACUCUGACAUAUACUUCUGUUCUGUACCUGACCCCAGCGCUCAAACAUCACGGGCAAAACCUCACCUGCAGAGUCACAUACCCAACUGUCUCAUCCGAACAGAUCCUCACAAUGGCUGUUGAAUAUGCACCACGGAAUCAAUCAAUCACUUCCCCCGACAACGUGAAUAAUUCCGGAGUCAAUGUAAAGGAAGGAAACUCUGUAGAGUUCUUCUGCUCCGUUCAGAGUUUCCCAGCAUCUAACCUGACGUGGAGACAUCUCGGUGCCACACUGAACACAACAAGAUCCAGCAACGAGCUGUGGUUGAAAAUCCUUCAAGUGACUCGGCAGGACGCUGGGGACUAUCAGUGUGUGGCGGAGAAUGAGCACGGGACAGGGAAGGGGAAUGUGACCCUCAUGAUAGAAUUACGUGGCUCGGAAAAGACCUGGAAAUGCCUCGUGGCCCUGAUCGUUCUUGCCGUCAUCCUUGGCGUCGUUCCUGUAAUCGUCUGGGCAGCGUGUUUUCGCAACAAAUGAGGUGCGGGAUGAUCUGGAAGCUGUCCGAAUGUCUUCACUGCCAUUUACUCACCAGAACGAGAAAGAGGGGAGGAGCUGCAUCUCGGCGACCAUGAUCUGUACAGCGAGCUCAAGCCCAGAUACAAAUGAGCCUCUGCUCAACCCCUCUCUGUGCGCACCGUCCACUCUGCCCACUUUCUCUGACGUUUCUCUCUGCCCAUGUCUCUCUUUCCUUACUCUCUAUAAUCAAUCUCCCUUCCAUCGACUCCAUCUUCACCUCACGCUGCCUCGGCAAGGCCAGCAGCCCAGACCAUCGCACACCAACCAACCUCCCUUCCAUCGACUCCAUCUAC